GAAGAGUUUGAUCAUGGCUCAGAUUGAACGCUGGCGGCAGGCCUAACACAUGCAAGUCGAACGGUAACAGGAAGCAGCUUGCUGCUUUGCUGACGAGUGGCGGACGGGUGAGUAAUGUCUGGGAAACUGCCUGAUGGAGGGGGAUAACUACUGGAAACGGUGGCUAAUACCGCAUAACGUCGCAAGACCAAAGAGGGGGACCUUCGGGCCUCUUGCCAUCAGAUGUGCCCAGAUGGGAUUAGCUUGUUGGUGAGGUAACGGCUCACCAAGGCGACGAUCCCUAGCUGGUCUGAGAGGAUGACCAGCCACACUGGAACUGAGACACGGUCCAGACUCCUACGGGAGGCAGCAGUGGGGAAUAUUGCACAAUGGGCGCAAGCCUGAUGCAGCCAUGCCGCGUGUAUGAAGAAGGCCUUCGGGUUGUAAAGUACUUUCAGCGGGGAGGAAGGUGUUGUGGUUAAUAACCGCAGCAAUUGACGUUACCCGCAGAAGAAGCACCGGCUAACUCCGUGCCAGCAGCCGCGGUAAUACGGAGGGUGCAAGCGUUAAUCGGAAUUACUGGGCGUAAAGCGCACGCAGGCGGUCUGUCAAGUCGGAUGUGAAAUCCCCGGGCUCAACCUGGGAACUGCAUUCGAAACUGGCAGGCUUGAGUCUUGUAGAGGGGGGUAGAAUUCCAGGUGUAGCGGUGAAAUGCGUAGAGAUCUGGAGGAAUACCGGUGGCGAAGGCGGCCCCCUGGACAAAGACUGACGCUCAGGUGCGAAAGCGUGGGGAGCAAACAGGAUUAGAUACCCUGGUAGUCCACGCCGUAAACGAUGUCUACUUGGAGGUUGUGCCCUUGAGGCGUGGCUUCCGGAGCUAACGCGUUAAGUAGACCGCCUGGGGAGUACGGCCGCAAGGUUAAAACUCAAAUGAAUUGACGGGGGCCCGCACAAGCGGUGGAGCAUGUGGUUUAAUUCGAUGCAACGCGAAGAACCUUACCUGGUCUUGACAUCCACAGAACUUUCCAGAGAUGGAUUGGUGCCUUCGGGAACUGUGAGACAGGUGCUGCAUGGCUGUCGUCAGCUCGUGUUGUGAAAUGUUGGGUUAAGUCCCGCAACGAGCGCAACCCUUAUCCUUUGUU
rnacentral:rRNA from 1 species